CCCCCCGUAGCUCAAUGGAUAGAGCAACCGCCUGCUAAGCGAUAGGUCGCCCGUUCGAGUCGGGCCGGGGGGA
rnacentral:tRNA from 1 species